UACGAAGGGGCGAGCGUUGUUCGGAUUACUGGGCGUAAAGGGCGCGCAGGCGGCUUAUUUUGUCAGGCGUGAAAGCCCCGGGCUUAACCUGGGAACUGCGUUUGAUACGGAUGGGCUAGAGUUCGGGAGAGGAGCGUGGAAUUCCCAGUGUAGAGGUGAAAUUCGUAGAUAUUGGGAAGAACACCGGUGGCGAAGGCGGCGCUCUGGACCGAGACUGACGCUGAGGCGCGAAAGCGUGGGGAGCAAACAGGAUUAGAAACCCUG
rnacentral:rRNA from 1 species